rnacentral:rRNA from 1 species
CCUACGGGAGGCAGCAGUGAGGAAUAUUGGUCAAUGGGCGCGAGCCUGAACCAGCCAAGUAGCGUGAAGGAUGACUGCCCUACGGGUUGUAAACUUUUUUUAUAAAGGAAUAAAGUGAGGCACGUGUGCCUUUUUGUAUGUACUUUAUGAAUAAGGAUCGGCUAACUCCGUGCCAGCGGCCGCGGUAAUACGGAGGAUCCGAGCGUUACCCGGGUUUGUUGGGUUUAAAGGGAGGGUAGAUGGGGUGUUAAGUCAGUUGUGAAAGUUUGCGACUCAACCGUAAAAUAGCAAUUGAUACUGGCAGCCUUGAGUGCAGUUGAGGUAGGCGGAAUUCGUGGUGUAGCGGUGAAAUGCUUAGAUAUCACGAAGAACUCCGAUUGCGAAGGCAGCCUACUAAACUGCAACUGACAUUGAUGCUCGAAAGUGUGGGUAUCAAACAGGAUUAGAUACCCGGGUAGUC